CCUAUCCCUACAGGCUUUGUUGUGGCUUGUGUCACAUUGCAUCAGUAGGUGGCAGAGAGGAGAGGGGCUAUAUUUACACCCUGUAUUCUGACCUUUGAGUCUCUGAAUGAUUAGUAGCCUAGUGUU